AAAGUAUAGUUUAACAAAACCUCCCGCUUACACCGAGAAUAUAUCUGUGAAAAUCAGAUUACUUUGAG
rnacentral:tRNA from 1 species